UCCUCUGCACUCACUCCCCCUCUCUCCGUCUCUAUCUCAUUUUCUACAAAGUUUACUCAGAUCUGUUCUGUCGGCGGUGACCCCAAAGGUCGUUGAGGUUUUUGAGGCCGGCGUUGACCUUAUGAAGAGGUAAACAAAUGGUUUUUACUGUGUAAUUAUGCUUGACUUUGGGGAUAAAGUUUGAAUCUAUUUGAGAUUUUUGUUUGUGUGUGAUUUUAGUAGCAGUUGUGUUUAUUAGAGUGAACAUAGUGAUGGAUCUUGUCUGGAUCUUGGUUUUUUGGGAUAACAUUUGUGCCUUGAUUUUAAUCUGUGUGUUUGAAGAGAGUAGAUUUUAUUAAUUUAAUUUCAGUUUUGGCUGAUGAAGUUUGUUAAUUUCUGGAUAUACAUGCUUCUUCAUCAAUUAAAUAAAUAUCUCUGCACCACAAGCUGAUGGAAGAGGUGCUAUAUAUACUGGCAAUGAUGCGUGCUUUACAACAGGUGAUAUGGUAGAAGCCAAAGCAAUUAAAUCUGUGUUUUCAAAUUGUGUGGCUUCUGGUGACCUAGCCUUGUCCUCAACCAAGGGUGCUAUCGGUCAUCUCCUUUGAGCAGCUGGAGUGUGGAAGCAAUUUUUACAAUUCUGGCCAUCCACCACAUAAGUUAUAUUUCAAUUUUAUAUGGAUCCAUCCAUAUCAAGAAUAAAUUAUCAGCUAGCUCCAUAUGUAUACGUCAGUAAUUAUUUGUUAUUUGAAGAGGCAAUUUUACCUACUAUAUGAUGCACACAGCAAGUGCCUGCAAUAGAAAAUAUAACAAAAAGAACAAAAAACCUUUAGAUGAAUAUUAUGUGUUUGCACUUGGAUAUUCGAUAUCUACCUAUUCAUAAUGUCAUUUGGUCCCUUGUUUUUUUACCUAUUUUGUUACAGGGGAUUGCUCCUCUAAACUUCAAUCUCAGUAAACAAGAUCCCAUAUUUAGUGAUGCUGCUCUAGGACGAAAUCCUUUGACAAUUAGUGAAUCAGUAACCACUGUUCGUGAUAUGGCACUUCUACUUUACCAAGCACAGCAACAGCUACACUAUGAAAGUGCAACCAUGAUUAUGAGACUGAAAUCCAAAAUGCAGGACUUGGAAGAACAAUUGAGUUAUGUGAAUGCACUUAUGUGGCUGUCCUUGAAUAGCCCCAAGACUCUAACACUAGGAGUUAUUAUUUUUCUGGCAACAAUGAUGAAGGUAAAACUCCAACAAGGUGCUCAUUUUGCGAGGCUCUUUUUGUCGGCUUCUAUCUACUUUGUACAGGCUCUGUCAGUUGUGUGAAACAUUUAAAGAUUUUAAAUUUUUGUAUGUGGUUGUAUAUAUGUUGUUACUAUAGUUGGCAAUGAAAGCUUUUGUUACUAAUUAA